GAUGAACGCUAGCGGCAGGCCUAAUACAUGCAAGUCGAACGGGAUCCAGAUCAAAGCUUGCUUUGGUCUGGUGAGAGUGGCGCACGGGUGCGUAACGCGUGAGCAACCUACCCUUGUCAGGGGGAUAGCCCGGCGAAAGUCGGAUUAAUACCGCAUGACAUCAUUGAGAGGCAUCUUUCGAUGAUCAAAGAUUUAUCGGACAAGGAUGGGCUCGCGUGACAUUAGCUAGUUGGUAAGGUAACGGCUUACCAAGGCUGCGAUGUCUAGGGGCUCUGAGAGGAGAAUCCCCCACACUGGUACUGAGACACGGACCAGACUCGUACGGGAGGCAGCAGUAAGGAAUAUUGGUCAAUGGACGGAAGUCUGAACCAGCCAUGCCGCGUGCAGGAAGACGGCCCUAUGGGUUGUAAACUGCUUUUAUACGGGAACAAACGUCGGUACGUGUACCGGUCUGAGUGUACCGUAAGAAUAAGGAUCGGCUAACUCCGUG
rnacentral:rRNA from 1 species